UACGUAGGUGGCGAGCGUUGUCCGGAUUUACUGGGCGUAAAGGGAGCGUAGGCGGACUUUUAAGUGAGAUGUGAAAUACCCGGGCUCAACUUGGGUGCUGCAUUUCAAACUGGAAGUCUAGAGUGCAGGAGAGGAGAAUGGAAUUCCUAGUGUAGCGGUGAAAUGCGUAGAGAUUAGGAAGAACGCCAGUGGCGAAGGCGAUUCUCUGGACUGUAACUGACGCUGAGGCUCGAAAGCGUGGGGAGCAAACAGGAUUAGAUACCCCGGUAGU
rnacentral:rRNA from 1 species